rnacentral:rRNA from 1 species
AUUGAACGCUGGCGGCAUGCUUUACACAUGCAAGUCGAACGGCAGCACGGGCUUCGGCCUGGUGGCGAGUGGCGAACGGGUGAGUAAUAUAUCGGAACGUACCCAGAAGUGGGGGAUAACGUAGCGAAAGUUACGCUAAUACCGCAUACGAUCUAUGGAUGAAAGCAGGGGACCGCAAGGCCUUGUGCUCCUGGAGCGGCCGAUAUCUGAUUAGCUAGUUGGUGAGGUAAAGGCUCACCAAGGCGACGAUCAGUAGCUGGUCUGAGAGGACGACCAGCCACACUGGAACUGAGACACGGUCCAGACUCCUACGGGAGGCAGCAGUGGGGAAUUUUGGACAAUGGGCGCAAGCCUGAUCCAGCAAUGCCGCGUGAGUGAAGAAGGCCUUCGGGUUGUAAAGCUCUUCUGUCAGGGAAGAAACGGUAGAGGCUAAUAUCCUUUGCUAAUGACGGUACCUGAAGAAUAAGCACCGGCUAACUACGUG